CAAAGAAGCUUUAGUGUCUUGUAUUGCAGAUAUUUGUGGAUGAACGGGCGUAUACCAAUUUGUCCUCAGCAUCAUGUCUGGACUGCUCUUGUUGGCAUUAUACGAAAUGAGAAGAAGCACCACUUCACGCGGGGAAGAACUUCAAAGCUGUGACGGGGUUUACAUGGGGGUUAGGUGACACACAGAAUACCGGGCUAAAGAGCGAAGGGGUGGCCACGGCACGAACUGUGAAGGGUGCUGAUGACAUGGCAGGGACGUGUAAACAGUCCGGGAUCACGGAUAUACAUACGCUGU